UGGAUAUUUGGCUGAAUGAGUAGCUUUUCUCGGUUAAAACAUUAGAUCCAGUGGGUAACGGUUCUUGAGACUUUGUACCCACUACCUAACCGGGUUUCAUGUAAGUAGCGCAAGCUCGAGCAUCUCGAGCGGAUGGGCCAGGAAUGGCAACGUGGCAGGCUAGACACAAUUUUUUUUUUUAAUGAAAGCGGUGAAAGUACUGUUAUUUGAUCUGGCAACUGUCAGGUCGAGCAGACUUGCCGCGAUCCUGAUCACGAUCGAAAAAUUGAUUUGGGCGGCAAGUCUGGGUUGAGCAAUCUGAACCUGAUGAUUGUGGAAUUUCCACAUUACCGUGUUUAAUAUGGUCCAUAGUUAUUUUGUUCCGUUGUGCAAAACGCGUUUGUCCUAAUAAAAACAACAUAGCUUAUUUUGCCCCCCCUUAAAAUUCCAGUCUGCUUUUGCAACGGAAAAAAUCGAUCCCAGGGUUUGAAGAGCUGACGCAGGCACAUCAUGUAUGUGAACUUCAUUUCAAAGACAAAUACAUUAUCCGCUACAGCGAACUGAUUGUACAAGGGUGUAUUAAUAAAUCCCACUACACAGAUGUAGGUUGAAAGAUGGUGCAGUUCCAUCCAUAUGGCUAAAUCAUACGAAUUUCAAGGAAAGUCCUCAAGUGGUUUUGGGUGAACGACACAUAGAAAGACCAAAUAAAGUUGUUGUCACACAUGCUAAACAUCAAAAGCAAAAUAUUGCUUAAUCAUCAUCAGUACCCAAAUAACCAAAUUUUGCCCAUAAAAUUCUAAUUUAAUUCAUGCAGAAGAGGAAUUUGCUCUCAAGAUGCCUUGUGAUAUAAUCCAACUCCCAAGUGGAUGGCACCAGACUGCAUAUCCCAUUAAAUGUGCUGAAACGGAAAAGUGUUUCAUGAAACUGAUAGAAGUAACUGUUACACCUGUUUGUUUCAUGCCUAAAACAGUUAAAGGAGUGAAGGAUUUGAAACAUUAGUUGAUGUUAACCUGCCUCUUUGCGUGUUUGAUAAAUUAAAACUUUGUCCAGGAAUCGAUCAGAAAAACCCUCCGUUUAUGGAUGGAAUUAUCAUACCGUCAGGUAAGCUGUCAGAAGGAAUUUGGCACUCUAACAGGUUUACACUAUAUAUACUUUUAAUCAUUAUUUCAGUAAUAAUAAAUCUUCAUUUUCAUUAUCAAGGUGUAAACAAGUUGUAUUUAAUGAAUCACCUUGCAAAGAAUGCCGGACGUUUAAAUACGUUCAUUCACGAAGAAUGACUCGAAGCAUAGUCUAUCAAGACACUUCCUUUAUCCAGUGAAGUUUGAUGACUUUUGACCAGUUAACGGAACGUGUAGAUAAAAUUAACAAGGCAAACGAGUGCUCCAAGGGUCCAACUUGCACGUAUACUUUGCUGCAGUGGCACAAUAUCAAUGCGUACUGCAAUGGCUGGAGACGAUGAAGUAAAAACCACGUCGGUAGCAUAAGGCUAAGGGGCUGCGAGGAUAAACGUGCUAUAAAUAUGCAUAUUACGUCGUGCGCCUUGAAAACACUAUAGGCAGUUCUUUACAUUCUACCUACUAGUUCCAUGUAUUAGUAACUGACGUUUUCACGCGUUGUUAGUUACUAUACGAACUUUUUUAUCGUGAACGUUGUUUUAUUUUUAAAAAAAUUUUGUCCAAUGAGAAAAAAAUGAGAGAAAAAUGAGACACUUUAUUACAGAGGAAUAUAGAUGCACAAAAUAAUUGAAGUAGUUUAUAUGAAUUGGGGGAGAAUCAAGAAGAAUGAAUAAAGAUAAACAUAUUUCAUGUAGAAACCAAUUACAUGCGAAAAAGCCGGUAUCUGAAACAGUGAACCUGUAGGCAAAACGAAAAAAAUGCUUGAAAUGUCUUCAAAACGUACGACUCGAUCCCAUGAGCAGGACCUAGCAUGUCCGAC